GCUCAGCUGCACGGGAAUCCGUGGAGGGUUUGGGAAAACCUGAAUUGCCAGGCCCUCCGCCAGGGAUCCCGAGGCUGUCAGUCUGGGAUGGGGCAGGAGAACUGCCUUUCCAAGAAAGUCCCAGGCAGGACAACAGGGGCUCCGACAGACUACCUCCAAGCCCGUCAGUCACAAUAUCCUGAAGGCAUCUGAGUGGAGAAGCCAGUGGCCAGCUGGCCCUGGAACUCUCCGGCACUAUGUAGCUCAGAAGACGCAAGAGUGGAAGUAUGGGAAGUAUGGGUAUGGGGUUGCUGAAUGUCAGUGGCACUUGAUCCAGGGAUGGUAUGAGCUUUGCCAGGGAGGAUGGGGCCAGUGAGAAGGGAAGAGGCCCAGGUUGGCCUUUCGGCCUUCUGAGGAGGCAGGGGAGAAGCCACGAGGAGAAGCCGGGAGGGGGGCAGACCGUCAGGGGUGAAGAGUGCAGUGCCGCGGGGCAGCUGCCAACCAGAGGCUGUGGUCUCAGGGGAAGACCUGUCGCUUGGUCCGCAGCCUUCCCAGCUGUAGCGCAAGCCCACCCACUUAGAAGAGGGGCCAGGGCCACAGCCUGAAGCUCCGUCCUCGGGGCGCAGUGGGGCUCAGCUACCUUUCCUGUCUCUCUGCUUAGAGGCCAAUUCACGAGUGUAUGAAUAUAAAAUAUGUAGUGGACUGAAUGUGGCCGUAAAAAGAUAUGUCCAGGUCCUAAUACCUGACUCUGUGCACGUGGCCUGGUUUGGAAAUAGGGUCUUUGUACAUGUGAUUAAGUUAAGGAUCUCAAGAUGACAUCACGGUAGGUCAUCUGGGCGGGCUCUAAAUCCAAGGACAUGGGUCCUGUAAGAGACAGAGGAGGAGGAGACGCACACGGAGGGAGAGGCCGUGCGAAGACAGAGGCAGAGGCGGAGGGAAGCAGCCGCAAGCCAAGGAAUGCAGGAGCCCUCUGGGGCCGGAAGAGGCAGGAAGGACCCUCCCCUAGAGCCCUUAGAGGCUUCUGGCCUCCGGACGCACCACCGUCAUCACUGCUGCUAUCCCUGCAGCUGGCCCUUGAACAGCAUAGGUCUGAACUAUGCAGGUCCACCUAAAUGCAGAUUUCCA